rnacentral:rRNA from 1 species
ACCUACGGGGGGCAGCAGUGGGGAAUUUUGGACAAUGGGCGAAAGCCUGAUCCAGCAAUGCCGCGUGCAGGAUGAAGGCCUUCGGGUUGUAAACUGCUUUUGUGCGGAACGAAACGGUCUCUCUUAAUACGGGGGGCUAAUGACGGUACCGUAAGAAUAAGCACCGGCUAACUACGUGCCAGCAGCCGCGGUAAUACGUAGGGUGCGAGCGUUAAUCGGAAUUACUGGGCGUAAAGCGUGCGCAGGCGGUUACAUAAGACAGAUGUGAAAUCCCCGGGCUCAACCUGGGACCUGCACUUGUGACUGUAUAGCUAGAGUACGGUAGAGGGGGAUGGAAUUCCGCGUGUAGCAGUGAAAUGCGUAGAUAUGCGGAGGAACACCGAUGGCGAAGGCAAUCCCCUGGACCUGUACUGACGCUCAUGCACGAAAGCGUGGGGAGCAAACAGGAUUAGAUACCCGUGUAGUCCC